CAAUCAUCUACUGGUCUUCCGCCUCUUUAUUUCAACAUCUUAAUCUACUGGAUUUUUCUCUUCCGCCUCAUUAUUUCAACAUCUUCAUCACAAAUAAGAACGCCAGAUCUGCCCCUUUUGUAUUCGUGUUUUUUCAUCUGUAAUGUGUAUGCUUUGUUUAUGAAUUAGGGUUUUCCAAGACGUGCAUAUGAAUCAGUUAUCCAUUUUGAUUAACCAUGUGUUCAACCCGUUUUGAGUUUAUCCUGAUUUGAUUCACCCUCUUCUCAAUCGGAAUUGAGUUUAUCCCGUUUUGAUUAACCAUAUUCAUAAAGCAAACAAUCGACGGAUUCAAGCUUCGAAACGCGGGAGAUGAAUAUAUAUGUUGCUUACAUGGAACACUUACUACAUGAAGAUAAGGACCUAACUACUGAAAACCUUCA